rnacentral:misc_RNA from 2 species
AACGCACAUUGCGCCCUCUGGUAUUCCGGGGGGCAUGCCUGUCCGAGCGUCAUUGCUGCCCUCAAGCACGGCUUGUGUGUUGGGCCCCCGUCCCGGUUCUCCAGCCGGGACGGGCCCGAAAGGCAGCGGCGGCACCGUGUCCGGUCCUCGAGUGUAUGGGGCUCUGUCACCCACUCGUGUAGGCCCGGCCGGCGGCUAGCCUCAACCAAACUUUUUUAACCAGGUUGACCUCGGAUCAGGUAGGGAUACCCGCUGAACUUAA